GACGAACGCUGGCGGCGUGCCUAAUACAUGCAAGUCGAGCGGACAGGCGCGGAGCUUGCGUCGCUUAUGUUAGCGGCGGACGGGUGAGUAACACGUGUAUAACCUCCCUGUAAGACUGGUAUAACUUCGGGAAACCGGAGCUAAUACCGGAUAAUAUCUUGCACCGCAUGGUGCGCUGGUGAAAGUCGGCGUUUGGGGCUGGACUCGCGGCUUAUCCGCUUGAUGGUGGGGUAGUUGCUGACGAAGGUUUGGACGGGUAGCCGGCCUGGGAGGGAGACCGGGCACAUAGGGACUGGGGUGGGGGCCGGAGUCCAACGGGAGGCAGGGGUGGGGAAUAUAGCGCAAUGGGCGGAGGCCUGAAGGAACAACGCCGCGUGCGGGAGGACGGUCUUCAGGUUGUAAACCGCUUUCGCCUAAGACGACGGGUGAGUGACGGUACUGGAUGAGGAAGCCCCGGCUAACUACGUG
rnacentral:rRNA from 1 species